rnacentral:rRNA from 1 species
UGAAUACGAGACGCUACGGCGUCGAAGCAGUCUAUGUCAUACUUCCAAGAAAAGCUUGCACUGUCAUAAACAAAUAAUGCCUGUACCAUAACCGACACAGGUGGGUAGGUAAAGUAUACUAAGGGGCGCGAGAUAACUCUCUCUAAGGAACUCGGCAAAAUGACUCCGUAACUUCGGGAGAAGGAGUGCCUUAUUUAUAAGGUUGCAAUAACAAGAUCCAAGCAACUGUUUAUCAAAAACACAGGUCUCCGCUAAGUCGUAAGACGAUGUAUGGGGGCUGACGCCUGCCCAGUGCCAGAAGGUUAAAGAAGUUGGUUAGCAUUAGCGAAGCUGAUAACUGAAGCCCUGGUGAACGGCGGCCGUAACUAUAACGGUCCUAAGGUAGCGAAAUUCCUUGUCGGGUAAGUUCCGACCCGCACGAAAGGCGUAAUGAUUUGGAUACUGUCUCAGAGAGGGGCUCGGUGAAAUAGACUUGUCUGUGAAGAUGCGGACUACCUGCACCAGGACAGAAAGACCCUAUGAAGCUUUACUGUAACUUGAAAUUGAAAUUGGACUUUAUUUGCGCAGUAUAGGUGGGAGGCAUUGAUAAUAUUCUUGCGGGAAUGUUGGAGCCAUCAGUGAGAUACCACUCUUGUAAUGUUAGAUUUCUAACUUUGGAUCAUUAUCUGGUCAAAGGACAGUUUCAGGCGGGCAGUUUGACUGGGGCGGUCGCCUCCUAAAUGGUAACGGAGGCGCACAAAGGUUUCCUCUGAACGGGUAGAAAUCGUAUCUAGAGUGUAAAGGCAUAAGGAAGCUUGACUGUGAGACCUACAAGUCGAGCAGGGACGAAAGUCGGUCUUAGUGAUCUGACGGUGCUGAGUGGAAAGGCCGUCACUCAACGGAUAAAAGUUACUCUAGGAUAACAGGCUGAUCUCCCCCAAGAGUUCACAUCGACGGGGAGGUUUGGCACCUCGAUGUCGGCUCAUCGCAUCCUGGGGCGGUAGUACGUCCCAAGGGUUGGGCUGUUCGCCCAUGAAAGCGGUACGCGAGCUGGGUUCAGAACGUCGUGAGACAGUUCGGUCCAUAUCCGGUGUAGGCGUUAGAAUAUUGAGAGGAGCCUUCUUUAGUACGAGAGGACCGAGAAGGACAUACCUCUGGUGUACCAGUUAUCGUGCCAACGGUAAACGCUGGGUAGCUAUGUGUGGAGAGGAUAACCGCUGAAAGCAUCUAAGUGGGAAGCCCACCUCAAGAUAAGUAUUCUC